GUCCGUCCUGUUUCGCGAAGCUCCGCCGCUCCACCUGUUAUCGACGCCGGCCGACUAGCUACUAUUAAAAAAAAAAAAUCCAAAACCCUUCUGCCUUCGUUUGCAAAACGUCGCGGCGUGAAUUCUGCCUUCUAAUCGUGGAUUUGACCUCCAAGUUGUGAGUUGAUUGGUUAUUGUGGAUAUAGUAAUAUUGUUCUUGGCUAGUAAGUUUUAAAAACUGGUUAAUUGAUUUGGGUAAUGCUGAUUUUAAGGUGAUACUGAAGAGGUCGUGCUUAGAUAUCUAAGUUCCAACGUGAGCUUCAUUGGAAUUGUUGCUUCAUUCUACUUGGAAUUUGUCUUAUUGAAUUUAGCCCGAUUGAAAAACUUACAUAACCUUGAGGUAAGGGAUUUUCUACUGGACUCACCUAAAGUUUUUGAGUUGUGUUGGACUGUAUGGAUGAUGAUUAAGAUGUACAUGUUUGAUUGCAGACUAAAUGUUUAGUGUAUGUUGUAUUUGACUGGAAACAUAUAUAUAUACAUUGAUGUGUGAAUUGAUGUGGAUUGCCGAAAGUAUACAUGUGAAUGACUGAAAUUAUGCUUAUGUGUACAUGAUGAUAUUAAUAGAUUGUGCUGUAUAAAGAUUGGAUGUGAACUAGUGAAUUUGUUUCGGUUGGAUGUGGAUUAUACUGAACUGUGGUUUGUGCUGGUGAACUGAGGGGUGUAUUGACUUGACUGUAUAGUGGAUUGACUGAUGUAUUAGCAUUUUAUUGACAGACAUAUGAUUGUAGUAAAAUAAGUUGACUGUUAGGAUGUUGAAAGAAAGGACUUUGUGAUUUGAAGUAACUGAAAGAUGGGUUGAAUGGAAUGAGGGGAUAAAUUGUUAGGUUGUAUUGGGAUGUUUACCUUGUAGGUGUCCCACGGGAUCACCAAUUUAUUUUGCACCUUCGGGAGCAUUUGACUGAUAUGUGUUUCUGCAGAACACUUGACUGAUAUGUACGUCCCUCGGGGCGUUAGACUGAUAUGUACGUCCCUCGGGGCGUUAGACUGAUAUGUACGUCCUUCGGGGCGUUAGACUGAAUGUGUAUCCUACGGGAUCACAAGACUGCGACUGUACAGGGUGUCCCAAUAGAACUUUAACAAUUUAUUUUCCCCUGACGAGACCAGUAGAGGGUCUCUUACUGAGUAUUGUUAUACUCACCCUUCUUAUGUUUAAUUUUCAGGCAAAGGAAAUAAAGGUGGCAAACCGGCGAGGGGCAGGAAGGAAGCGUGAUUGCCAUAGGAAUGUGUUAUUUUGCUUCCGCUUAUGAUUUCUUUUAAGGUUUAAGAUGUACUAAAACUUAGUUUACAAACUUUUAUUUGUAAAUAGUGUUAUUUUAAGUUUUCUUGAAUAUUUGAAAAUCAGGCCUGACAUAUGUUUUGUUUUUAAAUUGACUUACGUUUCAUUUGUAUCAACCAAAGUCUUUUGUAAAAAUAAUAACGACCUCGACUUACUAGAAAAGUUGGGUCGUUACAGUUGGUAUCAGAGCCUAAGUUUUAGGUUCUGUAGACUGACUUACGAUGUAAGUCUAUGUUUUUGUGUAUGGCUAACGCGACCCUUCGUCUCUCGUCAGGUAUGCUUGAUGCUUAUAUGUAUGGUUUAUUUGCAUGACCUUGCCUAAAUUAAACUAGAUUGCAUGACGAUAAAGACUUGCUUAUGUUAUAUGAUUAAGAUUUUGUUAAAGAGUGUUGUUGGUGGAUAAUAGGAAUUAUGCCGCCAAGGGAAGAAGUACGUAGAGGAGGUCGUAGAGGCCGAGGUAGAGGAGCAGGAGGCCGAGGUAGAGGAGCAGGUCGUAAUCAGCCUACUGAGGGUCAAGCUGAACAGCGAAUUCCUGCUGCACCCGUGACUCACGUCGAGUUUGAUGCACUGUCUGCUCACAUGGAGCAGAGGUUUACAGAACUUAUGACAGCUAUAGCUCAAAACCAGCAGGCACCUGCAGUCCACCUGCACCUGUAGUUCCCCCUGCACCAGCAGCCCCCUCCUGCACAAGAAUUACCUAACCAACUUUCUGCUGAGGCGAAACAUUUGAGGGACUUUCGGAAGUAUGACCCUCAGACGUUUGAUGGGUCACUGGAGGAUCCUACUAAAGCUGAAAUGUGGUUGUCCUCUGUGGAAACCAUAUUUAAUUACAUGAGAUGUCCGAGGAGCACAGAGUUCAGUGUGCUGCUUUUCUACUGAGGGACAGAGGCAUUAUCUGGUGGAGGACUACAAUGCGCAUGCUAGGUGGAGAUGUGAGGCAAUUACCUGGGAUCAGUUUAAGAACUGCUUCUAUACCAAGUUUUUCUCGGCUAACCUUAGAGACGCCAAAAGCCAGGAAUUCUUGGAGUUGAAGCAAGGAUAUAUGACAGUCGAGGAGUACGACCAGGAGUUUGAUAUGCUGUCACGUUUUGCCCCUGAGCUUGUUAGUAAUGAGCAGGCUAGAGCUGAUAGGUUCGUCAAGGGAUUGAGAGAUGAAAUUAGGGGUUUUGUGCGAGCACUAAAGCCCACUACCCAAGCUGAAGCACUGCGUCUGGCAGUGGAUAUGAGUAUUGGGAAGGAUGAAAGACAGCCAAGGAGCUUUAAUAAGGGAUCGUCGUCGGGUCAAAAGAGAAAAGUAGAGCAGAGAACUGUAGGAGUUCCUCAGAGGAACAUGAGACCAGGUGAUUCUUUUCGCAGUUUCCAGCAGAGUUCUGGCGGUGCAGGAGACACUACUCAGAGAGGCCAGUAUGUAAUACGUGUGGGAAACGCCACCUGGGUCGUUGUUUGAUGGGAACGAGAGUCUGUUAUAAGUGCAAGCAAGAGGGACACAUGGCUGAUAGGUGUCCCUUGAGAUCUACUGGGCUGGAUCGAGCAGUCAGGGAGAGAGACCUCCACAGCGGGGUACAAUCUUUGCCACUAAUAGAUCAGAGGCAGAGAAGGCCGGCACAGUAGUGACAGGUACAUUACCAGUGUUAGGGCAUUUUGCCUUGACCUUGUUUGACUCGGGAUCUUCUCAUUCAUUUAUUUCAUCGCUUUUUGUGACGCAUGCAUGCUUAGAGGUGGAACCCUUAGACUAUGUUUUGUCAGUGUCUACACCGUCUGGAGAAAUUAUGUUGUCUAAGGAAAAGAUUAAAGCAUGUGAAAUUGAGAUAGCUGGUCGUGUGCUGGACGUAACCUUGUUGGUAUUAGAUAUGCGUGACUUUGAUGUAAUUUUAGGUAUGGAUUGGCUAGCUACUAAUCAUGCUAGUAUUGAUUGUUCUCGUAAGGAAGUUGUGUUCAGUCCCCCUACUGCAUCUAGCUUUAAAUUCAAGGGGUAGGAACAGUAGUACUGCCUAAAGUAAUCUCAGCUAUGAAAGCUAGUAAACUACUCAGCCAGGGUACUUGGAGUAUUUUGGCAAGUGUGGUGGAUACUAGGGAAGGUGAGACUUCUUUAACUUCAGAACCUGUGGUAAGAGACUACCCAGAUGUAUUUCCAAAAGAUCUUCCAGGACUACCGCCACAUAGAGAGGUUGAUUUUGCCAUUGAGUUGGAGCCAAACACUACUCCUAUUUCUAGAGCCCCUUAUAGGAUGGCUCCUACUGAGUUGAAAGAACUGAAGGUACAGUUACAGGAAUUGCUUGAUAAAGGCUUUAUUCGACCUAGUGUGUCACCUUGGGGUGCACCAGUAUUGUUUGUGAAGAAGAAGGAUGGGUCGAUGCGUCUUUGCAUUGACUAUAGAGAGUUGAAUAAAGUAACAGUCAAGAACAGAUAUCCUUUACCCAGAAUCGAUGAUUUGUUCGAUCGGUUACAGGGAGCCACGGUGUUCUCUAAGAUUGACUUACGGUCAGGUUAUCACCAGUUGAGGAUUAGAGACCGUGAUAUUCCUAAGACUGCUUUUCGUUCGAGGUAUGGACAUUAUGAAUUCAUAGUAAUGUCUUUUGGUUUGACUAAUGCACCUGCUGUAUUUAUGGAUUUGAUGAACAGGGUGUUUAAGGAUUUCUUGGACACUUUUGUGAUAGUCUUCAUUGAUGAUAUUUUGGUUUAUUCCAAGACUGAAGCCGAACAUGAGGAACACUUACAUAAGGUGUUAGAGACUCUUCGAGUCAAUAAACUGUAUGCUAAGUUCUCGAAGUGCGAAUUUUGGUUGAAGCAGGUGGCUUUUCUUGGUCAUGUGGUUUCCAGUGAGGGAGUUUCAGUAGACCCUGCAAAGAUAGAAGCGGUUACCAGUUGGUCUCGACCCUCUACAGUUAGUGAGGUUCGUAGUUUUCUGGGUUUAGCAGGGUACUACCGGAGGUUUGUGGAGGAUUUUUCACGUUUGGCUACUCCUUUGACUCAGUUGACAAGGAAGGGAACUCCGUUUGUUUGGAGUCCAGCUUGUGAGGAUAGUUUUCAGAACUUAAGCAAAGGUUAGUUACUGCACCGGUCCUUACGGUACCAGAUGGAUCUGGAAGUUUUGUGAUUUACAGUGAUGCUUCCAAGAAAGGACUGGGUUGUGUUUUGAUGCAGAAAGGUAAGGUGGUUGCUUAUGCCUCUCGUCAGUUGAAGAGUCACGAGCAGAACUACCCCACACAUGAUUUGGAGUUGGCAGCAGUGGUUUUUGCAUUGAAGAUAUGGAGACAUUACUUGUACGGUGAAAAGAUACAAAUCUUUACUGACCAAAGAGCCUAAAGUACUUCUUCACUCAGAAGGAGUUGAAUAUGAGACAGCGAAGGUGGCUCGAGUUGGUAAAAGAUUAUGACUGUGAGAUAUUGUACCAUCCUGGUAAGGCGAAUGUUGUGGCUGAUGCUCUUAGUAGAAAAGUAUCACAUUCGGCAGCACUCAUUACUAGACAGGUACCAUUGCAUCGAGACUUGGAGAGAGCUGAGAUUGCAGUGUCUGUGGGGAGAGUCACCUCACAGCUAGCUCAAUUAACGGUGCAACCGACUCUGAGGCACAAGAUUGUUGAUGCUCAGAGUAGUGAUCCUUAUUUAAUGGAGAGACGUCGCCUUGUUGAAACAGGGCAGACUGAUGAGUUCUCCAUAUCCUCUGAUGGUGGGUUGAUGUUUGAAAGACGUUUAUGUGCCAGCGAACAGUACAGUUAAGAUUGACUUACUAGAUGAAGCCCAUAAUUCCCCAUGUUCCAUGCAUCCUGGUAGCACGAAAAUGUAUCAGGAUUUAAAACGAUUUUACUGGUGGCGGAAUAUGAAAAGGAAGUGGCGGAAUUUGUUAGUAAGUGUCUAGUAUGUCAGCAAGUUAAGGCACCUAGACAGAAACCAGCAGGUUUGUUACAACCCUUAAGUGUGCCAGAGUGGAAGUGGGAGAAUGUGUCGAUGGAUUUUAUUUCAGGGCUGCCUAAGACCCUGAAGGGUUUUCACAGUGAUUCUGGUUGUCAUAGACAGGCUUACGAAAUCGGCACAUUUUAUACCAGGAAAAUCCACUUAUACUGCUAGUAAGUGGGCAGAGUUGUAUUUAACUGAGAUUGUGAGACUGCAUGGAGUGCCUGUAUCGAUUGUUUCUGAUAGGGAUGCACGGUUUACUUCCAAGUUUUGGAAGGGACUUCAGACUGCUAUGGGUACAAGAUUGGAUUUCAGUACAGCCUUUCAUCCACAGACUGAUGGUCAAACUGAACGUUUGAACCAAGUUUUAGAGGAUAUGCUACGAGCUUGUGUUCUAGAGUUUCCAGGUAGUUGGGACUCUCAUCUACAUUUAAUGGAGUUUGCUUAUAACAACAGUUUCCAGGCUACCAUCGGUAUGGCGCCAUUUGAAGCUUUGUAUGGUAAAUGUUGUAGAACCCCUGUUUGUUGGAGUGAGGUUGGUGAACAUAGGUUGAUGGGACCUGAAUUAGUUCGGUCUACUAAUGAGACUAUUCAAAAGAUUAGAGCACGUAUGCAAACAGCGCAGAGUAGACAGAAGAGUUAUGCAGAUGUACGGCGAAAAGACCUUAAGUUCGAUGUGGGAGAAAAGGUAUUCUUGAAGGUAGCACCUAUGAAGGGUGUUAUGCGUUUUGAGAAGAAAGGAAAGUUAAGUCCUCGUUUUGUUGGACCAUUUGAGAUCUUAGAGAGGGUUGGUGUUGUGGCGUAUCGCUUGGCAUUACCACCAUCUCUCUCUGCAGUUCAUAAUGUUUUCCAUGUUUCGAUGUUGAGGAAGUAUGUGGCCGAUACAUCUCAUGUAGUGGACUAUGAACCCUUGGAGAUUGAUGAGCAUUUGAGCUAUGUAGAACAACCUGUGGAGAUUCUGGCUAGAGAAAUAAAGAUGCUUCGUAAUAGAAGCAUUCCAUUAGUAAAGGUUUUGUGGCGGAAUCAUCGAAUUGAAGAGGCGACAUGGGAGCGAGAGGAAGAGAUGAGGACUCGUUAUCCAGAGUUAUUUCAGGAGUAAAACUUUCGAGGACGAAAGUUUCUUAAGGAGGGAAGAAUGUAAUGCCCCAAAGGUGUAUAUAUAUAUAUAUAUUUGUUUUUAUUAUAUAUAUAUAUAUAUAUAUAUAUAUAUAUAUAUAUAUAUUAUAUAUAUAUAUAUUUAUUUAUAUUUAAUUUAAAUAAAAAGACAAGAAAAAGAAAUUUAUCUCUCUCUCUCUCUCGCGCGCUGCACAGCCCCCCCCCCCCCCGUUCUCUUCUCUUUUCCUUUCUCUUUUCUCUUCUCCCUUCCGUCUCCUUCCGUUCGCAGCCAGCAACCGCCGCCCCUUCUUCUCUUUUCUUCCUCUUUCGUUCGACGUCGACGAUCAGACCAAGCCGAAAACGAAAACCCAUCCCUCUUUUCUUCUUCGGAUCUAAACCGCCGCGCCCAUCCGCCUGUAACCGUCGUGCCUCUCCGCUCACAACCGUCGUGCCUCCCUCGGAAAGCAAAUCGUCGUCCAGAUCUGCAUUGCCGAGCCGUCCAGGUCCUCGCCGCCGCUCGUGCUUCACCUUGUAGUUCGCCGUAACCCAGAUCCAUCGCUGUCCGAUCUCUUCUCCUCGUCCCGCCGUCGCCGCUGCACUCGCCUGAAGUCAUCGUCCGUCCUGUUUCGCGAAGCUCCGCCGCUCCACCUGUUAUCGACGGCGGCCGACUAGCUCUUAUUAAAAAAAAAAAAAAUCCAAAACCCUUCUGCCUUCGUUUGCAAAACGUCGCGGCGUGAAUUCUGCCUUCUAAUCGUGGAUUUGACCUCCAAGUUGUGAGUUGAUUGGUAUUGUGGAUAUAGUAAUAUUGUUCUUGGCUAGUAAGUUUUAAAAACUGGUUAAUUGAUUUGGGUAAUGCUGAUUUUAAGGUGAUACUGAAGAGGUCGUGCUUAGAUAUCUAAGUUCCAACGUGAGCUUCAUUGGAAUUGUUGCUUCAUUCUACUUGGAAUUUGUCUUAUUGAAUUUAGCCCGAUUGAAAAACUUACAUAAC
rnacentral:lncRNA from 1 species